AUGACAUAAAGAGUUUGUAGAGUGAAGACAGAAAUGGUGAAUGAAUAAACAAUUUGGGCUUGAAUGUAAUGACCAAAAGAAGUCCAGGAGAGUUUCAGGGAACCAACUUGCAGCUACAUCCACAAUUCCUCAACACUGGAACAACAUGCUUAUGACCUUUCCUUUUCACAGCAACAGUGACGUGUUUGGUUUGUAACAGUUUCUGAACCACUGAAGUACUUUUCAACUUU
rnacentral:lncRNA from 1 species